rnacentral:rRNA from 1 species
AAUUUUGGACAAUGGGGGAAACCCUGAUCCAGCCAUCCCGCGUGUAUGAUGAAGGCCUUCGGGUUGUAAAGUACUUUUGCCAGGGAAGAAAAGGUAUCUCCUAAUCCGAGUUACUCCUGCCGGUAUCUGCAGAUUAAGCACCGGCUACCUACGUGCCACCAGCCGGGGUAAUACGUAGGGUGCAAGAGUUAAUCGGAAUUACUGGGCGAAAAGCGUGUGUAGGCGGUUCGGAAAGAAAGAUGUGAAAUCCCAGGGCUCAACCUUGGAACUGCAUUUUUAACUGCCGAGCUAGAGUAUGUCAGAGGGGGGUAGAAUUCCACGUGUAGCAGUGAAAUGCGUAGAUAUGUGGAGGAAUACCGAUGGCGAAGGCAGCCCCCUGGGAUAAUACUGACGCUCAGACACGAAAGCGUGGGGAGCAAACA